rnacentral:rRNA from 1 species
CGAACGGAAAGGCCCUGCUUUUGUGGGGUGCUCGAGUGGCGAACGGGUGAGUAACACGUGAGUAACCUGCCCUUGACUUUGGGAUAACUUCAGGAAACUGGGGCUAAUACCGGAUAGGAGCUCCUGCUGCAUGGUGGGGGGUUGGAAAGUUUCGGCGGUUGGGGAUGGACUCGCGGCUUAUCAGCUUGUUGGUGGGGUAGUGGCUUACCAAGGCUUUGACGGGUAGCCGGCCUGAGAGGGUGACCGGCCACAUUGGGACUGAGAUACGGCCCAGACUCCUACGGGAGGCAGCAGUGGGAAUAUUGCACAAUGGGCGGAAGCCUGAUGCAGCAACGCCGCGUGCGGGGAUGACGGCCUUCGGUUGUAAACCGCUUUCGCCUGUGCGAAGCGUGAGUGACGGUAAUGGGUAAGAAGCACGGCUAACUACGUGCCAGCAGCCGCGGUGAUACGUAGGGUGCGAGCGUUGUCCGGUAUUAUUGGGCGUAAAGGGCGUCGUAGGUGGUUGAUCGCGUCGGAGUGUAAUCUGGGUCUAACCGUGAGUCG